AGGCAGAGACAUCAGCUCUGCAGGUGGCAAAGCACUUGAUGAGACAUGAAAGGAUGAAGAGAGCCAGUACAGCCACAUCACUGCAGGCUGGAUUUGAGUACCUAACUACAAGCCUGGUGGAAUGCCGCUUUGAGAGGGAGGAGAAAGAGCAACAAAAUGACAUAUUUGCAGCAGGAUGUGACAGAAGAUAUAUCAAGAUGAAUGCCUGCCUUUUUGUGACAGAUGAUACCUUCUCUUGGCUGACUGAAGAACUCAGGACACGGAAGGUUUUGCCCCAAUACCAUCUGGUUUCUGGGUGCAGCCUUGAGAAAAUCAUUCUAUUUCUUUCAUAUGGCAAAAGCUCC